rnacentral:tRNA from 1 species
GUCGGCCUAGCUCAAUUGGUAGAGCAACUGACUUGUAAUCAGUAGGUUGGGGGUUCAAGUCCUCUGGCCGCACCA